rnacentral:rRNA from 1 species
CCUACGGGAGGCAGCAGUGAGGAAGAGUGGUCAAUGGGCGCGAGCCUGAACCAGCCAAGUAGCGUGAAGGAUGACUGCCCUACGGGUUGUAAACUUCUUUUAUAAAGGAAGAAAGUGAGGCACGUGGGCCUUGUUGUAUGUACUUUAUGAAUAAGGAUCGGCUAACUCCGUGCCAGCAGCCGCGGUAAUACGGAGGAUCCGAGCGUUCUCCGGAGUUAUUGGGUUUCAAGGGAGCGUAGGUGGAUUGUUAAGUCAGUUGUGAAAGUUUGCGGCUCAACCGUAAAAUUGCAGUUGAAACUGGCAGUCUUGAGUACAGUAGCGGUGGGCGGCAUUCGUGUUGUAGCGG